rnacentral:rRNA from 1 species
UGGGGGAAUUUUGGACAAUGGGCGAAAGCCUGAUCCAGCAAUGCCGCGUGUGUGAAGAAGGCCUUCGGGUUGUAAAGCACUUUUGCCCGGAAAGAAAUCCUUGGCUCUAAUACAGUCGGGGGGAUGACGGUACCGGAAGAAUAAGCACCGGCUAACUACGUGCCAGCAGCCGCGGUAAUACGUAGGGUGCAAGCGUUAAUCGGAAUUACUGGGCGUAAAGCGUGCGCAGGCGGUUUGCUAAGACCGAUGUGAAAUCCCCGGGCUCAACCUGGGAACUGCAUUGGUGACUGGCAGGCUAGAGUAUGGCAGAGGGGGGUAGAAUUCCACGUGUAGCAGUGAAAUGCGUAGAGAUGUGGAGGAAUACCGAUGGCGAAGGCAGCCCCCCUGGGCCAAUACUGACGCUCAUGCACGGAAGCGUGGGGAGCAAACAGGAUUAGAUACCCUGGCAGUCCACGCCCUAAACGAUGUCAACUAGUUGUUGGGGAUUCAUUUCCUUAGUAACGUAGCUAACGCGUGAAGUUGACCGCCUGGGGAGUACGGUCGCAAGAUUAAAACUCAAAUGAAUUGACGGGGUCAUAGCUGUUUCCU